UACGUAGGUGACCAGCGUUGUCCGGAUUUACUGGGCGUAAAGAGCGCGCAGGCGGUCGUUCAAGUCGAGUGUGAAAGCCCCCGGCUCAACUGGGGAGGGUCAUUCGAUACUGAUCGACUUGAAGGCAGGAGAGGGAAGUGGAAUUCCCGGUGUAGUGGUGAAAUGCGUAGAUAUCGGGAGGAACACCAGUGGCGAAGGCGGCCGGCGGGGGGUGCCCUGACGCUGAGGCGCGAAAGCGUGGGGAGCGAACCGG
rnacentral:rRNA from 1 species